rnacentral:rRNA from 1 species
UACAGAGGUCUCAAGCGUUGUUCGGAUUCAUUGGGCGUAAAGGGUGCGUAGGUGGCAUGGUAAGUCGGGUGUGAAAUCCCGGGGCUCAACCCCGGAACUGCACUCGAUACUACCGUGCUCGAGUACUGGAGAGGAGACUGGAAUUUACGGUGUAGCAGUGAAAUGCGUAGAUAUCGUAAGGAAGACCGGUGGCGAAGGCUAGUCUCUGGGCCUUACCUGACGCUGAGGAGCGAAAGCGUGGGGAGCGAACAGG